rnacentral:lncRNA from 1 species
AUGCCAGAAACAGGUUCUUCUGCCCCAGAAGAAUGUCACAUCUUUAUUGGAAAAAACAGGAGACAGAUUCAUGAGGACCAGUCCAUCUGGCCACGUCCAUGGAAGGGCAGUCCACUGCCGACUGAAGCCUCCCUCCAUGGAGCGGCUGUAGGGGCCGUUGGACACGUGGCGCUGGGGACGGCGCAUUACCAGAUUGUGGCGGCUCUGUCCGUAGUGAGGAAGAGCUGGGGCAGGAGGCCAGGGAGCCGACGUGGAGUCCAGCACUGUGCGGGAAACAGAAAGGUAGGACAGGUCACGAGAGAUGCUGCGCUCACUUUCUUUUCUUCAAAAGCAAAUAAACAACAAACCACCCUUUCGGUCUGAGUAACCGACUAGACAGACGGGCAAGGGUCGGGCAAACAGGGUUAAGGGAUUUGUCUGAGGCCAGAUGUGAAGCCAGGACCUCCCAGCUUUCACACCUGCCUCUCCAUCCCCUGGGCAGGGGACUAGAAAAAACCCUGUCAAAAAAGACCAGGUGGAAUAUGGUUUCCCAGUAAAAUGGAAUUUUUAGGGCAACAAAAGUUUAAAAGGAAAAAAAAGUUUAAAAGGCCACAAGAGAGAAAUAACAUCACUAUAUAUAUAUAUAUGUAUAAAUAUAAAUAUAUAUAUAUAUAUAUAUAUUUUUUUAAACCCUUACCUUCCAUCUUCCAUCUUGAAAUCAAUACUGUGUAUUGGCUCCAAGGCAGAAGAAUGGUAAGGGCUAGGCAAUGGGGGUUAAGUGACUUGCCCAGGGUCACCCAGCUGGAAGUGUCUGAGACCAUAUUUGAACCCAGGACCUCCCCUCUCUAGGCACCGCUGUAUUUUAACAAUGGUGAGUUCCUUGCAUUUUUGGCAUUAUUCUUAUUAAUUAAAUUUGGGUUUUCCUCAGAAUUCCACAUAGAUUCAGGCACUACACAACGAUUUUAUCAUAAAUGCUCGCCUUCUACACACAUUUUAGGACACCAGAAUCACAUUUUGUUUUCUGUAUGAAAUGGACCUGACACACCUAGCUGCUGCAGCCUGCCCUCCCUCCCUGGGGUGUUUAGUGGGGCAGCAAAGAAGGAAGAAGGCCGUUAGGUUUCAGAGCCCAGUUCUCCUGGGUGGAAGAAAAGCGGAGGCUGGCUCUAGGGUGGCCUUAAACUCAGGAUCCUCGUUACCCCGGGGCAGGGGGAGCUGGGGAGGGAGAGGAAGAAGUCACACUUACUAGCAGGAGGAGGCAAGGGAUCACCGAAGGCUGUAUAGUUCAGGGGGAAGUAGCCAGGCAGGACGGGAUUAUCCGAGAAGAAGCAGCUGUCUUGAGGGAGGACUUGGGGUGAAGGGAAGGGUAGGGGUAAUAGAAGGUGGA